AUACGGAGGGUGCAAGCGUUACUCGGAAUCACUGGGCGUAAAGGACGCGUAGGCGGGAUGCCAAGUCUGAUGUGAAAUCCUACAGCUCAACUGUAGAACUGCAUUGGAAACUGGUAACCUAGAGUAUGGGAGGGGGAGAUGGAAUUAGUGGUGCAGGGGUAAAAUCCGUAGAUAUCACUAGGAAUACCUAAAGCGAAGGCGAUCUCCUGGAACAAUACUGACGCUAAGGCGUGAAAGCGUGGGGAGCAAACGGGAUUAGAAACCCUUGUAGUCC
rnacentral:rRNA from 1 species